rnacentral:rRNA from 1 species
CAUGUAGGCGGUCUGUCAAGUCUGAUGUGAAAGCCCCGGGCUCAACCCGGGAAGUGCAUUGGAAACUGGCAGACUUGAGUACGGGAGAGGAAAGUGGAAUUUCGAGUGUAGGGGUGAAAUCCGUAGAUAUUCGAAGGAACACCAGUGGCGAAGGCGGCUUUCUGGACCGAUACUGACGCUGAGAUGCGAAAGCGUGGGGAGCAAACA